UACGGAGGGUGCAAGCGUUAUCCGGAUUCACUGGGUUUAAAGGGUGCGUAGGCGGGCAGGUAAGUCCGUGGUGAAAUCUCUGAGCUUAACUCAGAUACUGCCAUGGAUACUAUUUGUCUUGAAUGUUGUGGAGGUAAGCGGAAUAUGUCAUGUAGCGGUGAAAUGCUUAGAUAUGACAUAGAACACCAAUUGCGAAGGCAGCUUACUACACAAAUAUUGACGCUGAGGCACGAAAGCGUGGGGAUCAAACAGG
rnacentral:rRNA from 1 species